UACGGGAGGCAGCAGUGGGGAAUAUUGCACAAUGGGCGCAAGCCUGAUGCAGCCAUGCCGCGUGUAUGAAGAAGGCCUUCGGGUUGUAAAGUACUUUCAGUCGUGAGGAAGGUGUUAAGGUUAAUAACCUUAGCAAUUGACGUUAGCGACAGAAGAAGCACCGGCUAACUCCGUGCCAGCAGCCGCGGUAAUACGGAGGGUGCGAGCGUUAAUCGGAAUUACUGGGCGUAAAGGGCACGCAGGCGGUUAAUUAAGUUGGAUGUGAAAUCCCCGGGCUUAACCUGGGAAUGGCAUUCAAGACUGGUUAGCUAGAGUCUUGUAGAGGGGGUAGAAUUCCAUGUGUAGCGGUGAAAUGCGUAGAGAUGUGGAGGAAUCCGGUGGCGAAGGCGGCCCCUGGGACAAAGGACUGACGCUCAUGUGCGAAAGCGUGGGGAGCAAAC
rnacentral:rRNA from 1 species